AGCAGCCGCGGUAAUUCCAGCUCCAAUAGCGUAUAUUAAAGUUGUUGCAGUUAAAAAGCUCGUAGUUGAAUUUCGGGAUCAGUUUGUUGGUCGUGCUUCGGUACGUACUGUCAUUACUGGUUUCUACCUUCUGAAGAACCUUGAUGUCAUUAAUUUGGUGUCUUGGGGAAUCAGGACUGUUACUUUGAAAAAUUAGAGUGUUUAAAGCAAGCAUACGCUUGAAUACAUUAGCAUGGAAUAAUGAAAUAGGACGUUUGAUUCUAUUUUGUUGGUUUCUAGGAUCGACGUAAUGAUUAAUAGGGAUAGUUGGGGGCAUUAGUAUUCAAUUGUCAGAGGUGAAAUUCUUGGAUUUAUUGAAGACUAACUACUGCGAAAGCAUUUGCCAAGGAUGUUUUCAUUAAUCAAGAACGAAAGUUAGGGGAUCGAAGACGAUCAGAUACCGUCGUAGUCUUAACCAUAAACUAUGCCGACUAGGGAUCGGAUGAUGUUAUUUUUAAUGACUCAUUCGGCGCCUUAAAC
rnacentral:rRNA from 1 species